rnacentral:rRNA from 1 species
AACGAACGCUGGCGGCAUGCCUAACACAUGCAAGUCGAACGAGACCUUCGGGUCUAGUGGCGCACGGGUGCGUAACGCGUGGGAACCUUCCCUUAGGUUCGGAAUAACUCCCCGAAAGGGGUGCUAAUACCGGAUAAUGUCUUCGGACCAAAGAUUUAUCGCGUUUGGAUGGGCCCGCGUUGGAUUAGCUAGUUGGUAGGGUAAAAGCCUACCAAGGCGACGAUCCAUAGCUGGUCUGAGAGGAUGAUCAGCCACACUGGGACUGAGACACGGCCCAGACUCCUACGGGAGGGAGCAGUGGGGAAUAGUGGACAAUGGGCGAAAGCAUGAUCCAGCAAUGCCGCGUGAGUGAUGAAGGCCGUAGGGUUGUAAAGCUCUUUUACCCGGGAUGAUAAUGACAGUACCGGGAGAAUAAGCUCCGGCUAACUCCGUG